ACUUGAAGCAAGGUUUGCUCAGUAACUACAAAUAUUAAAUAGUUUUGGCAAGUGGCCAAUAAUGCUUUUUCAUAUGCAUUAAUAUUCAGCACCAAAGGUCAUACUCAUCAUUAUCAGAAAAAAUUAAUCUCCUUUGCUUGGAAGGUGGAGUCUGGACACACUUGAAGACAAGCUGCUGGGCUUGAAGAGAUGUGAAAGAAUACCUGUAUUACAGUACAAACCAAUUGAGGGUGAUCUUGCCACUGCCUGGCCAGGGCCCCACCCAAACCAGCUUCCCCCCUGGAAGCACAGUAACUACAACUCUUUCAUGAGGCAUAUCUGCAAGAAGGGCUGGAAGGAGGAUCUGGGGAACUACCUGCCCUCAGUGUGACCUCAGUGCCAGGGAACACUAUGGAGCAGAUCAUCCUGAGUGACAUCACCUGACAUGUACAGGACAACCAGGGGAUCAGGCCCAGCCAGGAAGGAUUUAUGAAAGGCAGGUCCUGCUUGACCAACCUGAUCUCCUUCUAUGACAAGGUGACCCACUUAGUGGAUGCAGGAAAGGCUGUGAUGUCUGCCUAGACAUCAGCAAAGCCUUUGGCACUGCAUCUUUCACAUCAUUCUCCUGGAAAAACUGUUUGUGGCUUGGACAGGUGCACUCUUCACUGGGUAAAAAUCUGUCUGGAUAAGAAUGGUGCCUAUCCCCACUGACAUUUACAGCUAUGCCUGAGAUGAGUAAAUGAUACGAAGGCAAGUUUAGGUCUCAUCUGUGUGGAAAUGACAAGGGGAAACCAGGGCUUAGUUCUCAGUCUCAGCAGAGCCUUUUUUCAGAAGCUCCCAUAAAUGUCCUUUUAAAAUGAAAGAAUAGCAAACCUGUAAGCUGGGAAGUAAAUCCUGAAUCUCUCCCCAGGCUGCCUGCCUGUGUUAGGAUCAUUUAUAGUUCAGUUUUAUUUUUCUGUUAAUUCCUUGGCAGAUGAUUCUAACACAAAUCAAUAAAAUAAAAAAAUAAAUCCAACAUGUUCGAAGAUGGUUCAUCUCUGUAGAUGAAACAGCCACCCCCAACUUUUGUUUUGAAUAAAUUCAGAUUUCAACUGCAGUGGCCUGGCUUAUUUCCAGUUUACUGUUAUUCUAUUCUACUUACAUGAAAUUCUCCCUUUCAUGCAACUCUGAUGAAAUGUUUGUCAUCUCUCAACUGCCUGCAAGGGUUGCAAAGUGCUUCAUGAACAAGAGUGCUUACGCAGGGACAAGUAAAGUGAUUUCUUUAUAGGUAGUGAUAAAAUUUUCAAGAGCAUUCUCCACUGGCACAAAUCUGUUUCUCUGGAAGAUACAUGGAAUUUCUACAGAUUCCGGUGGGAGCUGAAUUAAGCAGACAUGGAUUCUUUUAUACAUCCCAGUUCUCCCCUAGCAUAUUCUGUAUUGAAACAUUGAAGCCAUUUACAUGAAAACUUGUCUGGAAAGACAAAAUUUAAGCACAAGAAUAAAAAUUAAGAUGGAAACAUUGGUAUUUAAUUAAAUUAAA